CAUAGCCCCGGGAAACUGGGAUUAAUACCCCAUAGUUUGCACUGGCUGCAUGGUCAGUGCAAUAAAGUUGAGGCGCUUGGAGAUAGGCGUGCGUCUGAUUAGGUAGUUGGUAGGGUAACGGCCUUACCAAGCCGACGAUCAGUAGGGGGCUGAGAGCGUGGCCCCCCACACGGGUACUGAGACACGGACCCGACUCCUACGGGAGGCAGCAGUAAGGAAUAUUGGACAAUGGACGAAAGUCUGAUCCAGCCAUCCCGCGUGCAGGAUGAAUGCCCUAUGGGUUGUAAACUGCCUUUUGGAAGGGAAGAAACGCCUGGAUUUAUCCGGGCCUGACGGUACCUUCAGAAUAAGCACCGGCUAACUCCGUG
rnacentral:rRNA from 1 species